AAUUAAUAAGUUUAUAAACAUGUAUUUUGAAAAUACAAAAGAGAAAUUUAACCUUUCUAUUAAUUU
rnacentral:tRNA from 1 species